rnacentral:rRNA from 1 species
CGCACGGUGGAUGCCUGGGCAUCAGGAGCCGAUGAAGGACGUAGGAGGCUGCGAUAAGCCUCGGGGAGCUGUCAACCGAGCUGUGAUCCGAGGAUUUCCGAAUGGGGAAACCCAGCACGAGUCAUGUCGUGUUACCCGCAUCUGAAUACAUAGGGUGUGUGGAGGGAACGUGGGGAAGUGAAACAUCUCAGUACCCACAGGAAAAGAAAACAACAGUGAUUCCGUGAGUAGUGGCGAGCGAAAGCGGAUGUAGGCUAAACCGUGUACGUGUCAAGCCGGCAGGCGUUGCGUGUGCGGGGUUGUGGGACCAUGAUUGUCAGUUCUGCCGAUCUGACGGGAAGUCAUAAAGUCGCGUGUUAGUCGAACGGUUUUGGAAAAGCCGACCGUAGUGGGUGAGAGUCCCGUAGACGAAAGCAUGUGGCCUUCCUUUUGUGGAUCCCGAGUAGCAGCGAGCUCGUGAAAUUUGCUGUGAAUCUGGCGGGACCACCCGCUAAGCCUAAAUACUACCUGAUGACCGAUAGCGGACUAGUACCGUGAGGGAAAGGUGAAAAGAACCGGGAAUACCGGAGUGAAAAGAACCUGAAACCGUGUGCUUACAAGCAGUUAGAGGCCUUUAGUGGGCUGAUAGCGUGCCUUUUGCAUAAUGAGCCUACGAGUUACUCCUCCCCGGCAAGGUUAAGUACUUUAAGGUACGGAGGCGCAGCGAAAGCGAGUCUGAACAGGGCGCGCAG